CCUACGGGGGGCAGCAGUGGGGAAUAUUGGGCAAUGGAGGCAACUCUGACCCAGCAACGCCGCGUGAAGGAAGAAGGCUUUCGGGUUGUAAACUUAUGUCGUCAAGGAAGAAAAGAAUGACGGUACUUUACAAGAAAGCCCCGGCUAACUAUGUGCCAGCAGCCGCGGUAAGACAUAGGGGGCAAUCGUUGUUCGGAAUUACUGGGCGUAAAGGGAGCGUAGGCGGGGGAUUAAGUUAAAUGUGAAAGCCUUGGGCUCAACCCAAGGAAUGUUCUGAAUACUGGUUUUCUAGAGUGUGGGAGAGGUAAGUGGAAUUCCUAGUGUAGCGGUAGAAUGUGUAGAGAUUAGGAGGAACAUCAGAGGCGAAGGCGGCUUACUGGACCAUAACUGACGCUGAGGCUCGAAAGCGUGGGGAGCAAACAGGAUUAGAUACCCUAGUAGUC
rnacentral:rRNA from 1 species